rnacentral:lncRNA from 1 species
AGCACAUGAGCCUGGUGUCUGGCACAUCCCAUCAUAUUUGCUGUUAUGAUUAUUACUGCAAUGCUUACAUGGGCACAGCUCUGGGGAAACUUAGCCAUGGUUUGAUAUUAGUGACGUCAAUAGACAAGUUAGUGAUAUCAGCUGAAACUCGAGAUUGCCAAUGUUUAUAAACAAAGCAUCCUGCUCUGCUGCCCAAAGUUUGAAGAGCUUCAUGUCUUAGUGAAAGUAGCCAGUCUGUGAUUUACCUGCAUGGGACUUGCCUGCUGAUCUCUGCAGGCAUAAGCAUCUUUGCCCAGGUGGCAUCUACUGCUUGCCAUCUGAAGGUGGGACUAGAACUUUAGGUCCUUCACAGUUGGAUCAACUCUAGAUUUGCGGGCUUCACUCUCUAGAGACAGUCUCCUGGUGAGGGGAAGCUAUUUUCCGUCUACAGUGAGGGGUGAAUAUAACAGAGAAAUAUGUUCCUUCUCUACUGCACAGAUGUCAAGGGUGAAUCACGAGAGGAGGAUGCAGAGAGCUGGGGACAUUUGAGCAGCAAGGUGCCUCAGCUGGCAACUCAGCAGUUCCUUAGUAGCCCAGUCCUUCGUAGAACCCUUGCCAGUGUUUCCACAGUGCCCUACAGAGCAUCAUUAAUCAAGGCAGAGGCUGUAGAAUUGCUUCUCCCUGCUGCAGGGACUCCCUGAAACUUCCGCCAUCUCUCUGCAGCCCUGUGGAUGGCAAUUGCCAAUGGCAUUUCUCUCAGCCACCAUCUCUUAGGAUUCAGACAAUUGGACAACUCAGCCUUAGCCUGUAAAGGUCACCUCUGGAACUAGAGGGGCUGCAGCUCACAGCCCGUGGUUCCUGCUGGGGUCAGGGGCAGCUCAUGUUAAAAGAAAAUCAUUUAAAACUUUACUUUCUGAUAUGUAUUUUAUGGUAAGAUGUUGAAAAAAUAUACAUUUUCAAAUGCUGAACAC